GAACCACAUUGUUGUGGAUCCAAGGCAGACUCCAAGGUCUGUCGUGGCUGUGGGCCUGAGGAAAUCUUGUGCCCUCUCAAGUACAAUUGAUGCUAAAAGCAACUAACCUCUGGGGUUUUGUAUCUAUGAGACCGUGGAGACCCAGCCCUCAAAGUUACCAGGACACACAGGAAUCCCGGGGUUGCUGACUGAGGGUCCCCUUGAACCCUGCUGAGCAUGAAAGAUGGAAUGCCCGCUCUGUGUGUGACGCUGGCCCAAGGCAUCCCUGAUGGUGAACUCCAAAUGAUGCACAUGUUGUGCAGGGCCGCCCUCCAAGCAAAGCGACCACCACCUUCAGGAGUUCUGCUGGCCUGCUCAGAAAAGCUCA